CCCCUGCUCUAAUAAGAUGGUUAAUGCAAAACAGGUGGGCAUCCAGUCUGGGUGAAAGAUUGGGCUGGUGUUUUUCAGUACAGGGUCUGACUUCCUGACUUAGAGAUCUACUUGCAUAUUGGACUUCACAGAGGCAACAUCAGAGCAGAGCUUUUGGGGUCAUCUUCAGAGAUUGACCUGCUUGACCUGCAGUAGAUCUUUUAUGCAGAGACCUAGAAAAGAGUUUAUCAGCAUAACAUCCAUCUACUUGUUCUGGUUACCAGUGAUUUGUGAGUCUUCAGAAUGAAGUAGCCCAAAGAUCAGUUGGAGUAUUCACACCCUAAAAAACUAGGUGAUUUCCACUUCAUGAAUGUGGCAGGCAAGUUGAUCUGGUUUCAGCCUCUUAUACCAGGCAGAGCUGCUAGCUGAGGAGCAAGUGGUUUAAGAAACCCCAGAAAUCUGUCUUUUGGAAAAAAUGAAACUAUUUUAAGACCUCAGAGUUCCUACAGAGCUCAGUAUCCUUCUGGAAGGAACACCUUAACCUCAGGAAAAAAAACACCACCAGUUCUUCAGGAAGACACAGAAGCUAGAAGCAGUCACCACCUUCUUCCGAACAGCGCCUGUGGAGCUGCUGCUGAAUUGUCUUCCAGACAUGCCAGCCUGCUGGAUUCCACUGCACCUUUAGGGGGCUAAACAUCUCCUUAUGAAAGAUAAGCAGGGGGAAAAGAGAUCAUCCUGAGAAAAGUACAAAAGUGGACUCCACUGCGCACAUCUGCUGUGUGACCGCAUUAAAAUAUCUCCAGCUGUACUUUACUUCCUGGAGUCUUCCCUGAAUAUACCUGAAGGAUGAAUACUACCACAUCUAGAUGCAGAAGGACAUCAGACCCCACGUGGUACUCACAUGGUUGUCGCAUGUAAGGUCUUUGCCAGCUGGAACUGGAGAGACAACUGGGAGAGGUGUAAAAGCACCAUGAGAAAGAGGAAAAGGAGAAAAAAAAUCUCCACUUCCCAAUCUUCUUUGCCUGAUCUUGGUUGUGAUUUUCUAGCAUCUCAUAGAUAUUAAAGCUGUUGAUCCUUUCA